rnacentral:rRNA from 1 species
UACGGAGGGUGCAAGCGUUAUCCGGAUUUACUGGGUUUAAAGGGUGCGUAGGUGGGUUUGUAAGUCAGUGGUGAAAUCUCCGAGCUUAACUCGGAAACUGCCAUUGAUACUAUAGAUCUUGAAUAUCCUGGAGGUGAGCGGAAUAUGUCAUGUAGCGGUGAAAUGCUUAGAUAUGACAUAGAACACCAAUUGCGAAGGCAGCUCGACUACGGGGUCAUUGACACUGAGCACGAAAGCGUGGGGAUCAAACAGG